rnacentral:tRNA from 2 species
GGGCCCGUAGCUCAGGGGUUAGAGCAGUCGGCUCAUAACCGAUCGGUCGGGGGUUCGAUUCCCUCCGGGCCCACCA